GAUGAACGCUGGCGGCGUGCCUAAUACAUGCAAGUCGAGCGAACGGACGAGAAGCUUGCUUCUCUGAUGUUAGCGGCGGACGGGUGAGUAACACGUGGAUAACCUACCUAUAAGACUGGGAUAACUUCGGGAAACCGGAGCUAAUACCGGAUAAUAUUUUGAACCGCAUGGUUCAAAAGUGAAAGACGGUCUUGCUGUCACUUAUAGAUGGAUCCGCGCUGCAUUGGCUAGUUGGUAAGGUAACGGCUUACCAAGGCUACGAUGCAUAGCCGACCUGAGAGGGUGAUCGGCCACACUGGAACUGAGACACGGUCCAGACUCCUACGGGAGGCAGCAGUAGGGAAUCUUCCGCAAAGGGCGAAAGCCUGACGGAGCAACGCCGCGUGAGUGAUGAAGGUCUUCGGAUCGUAAAACUCUGUUAUUAGGGAAGAACAUAUGUGUAAGUAACUGUGCACAUCUUGACGGUACCUAAUCAGAAAGCCACGGCUAACUACGUG
rnacentral:rRNA from 1 species